GUUUGUCUAAACCAACACUUAAUCCCAAACGUGAUCCUCGAGAAGGAAGACAUAUAUGCAUCACUUGGGAAGAAAUGAGCUUAUGAUCAUCUUAAACUUCACUUAGCUUAAAACAUUUGUGAGCUUCCUUUCAUGAUGCAAGGUCCCAAUGUUCCAAUCUUCAUGCCCAAAGAACUUUUCAUCAACUAGAUUUACACCUACAAAGUGACAUACGUGUCUAGCAUUUUACGGGCUCAAGAUAAACAUAUUAAUAUUUUACUACAAACUUUUUAUGAAAAUCUAAUUAAUAUACCAAUAAAAAUACAUAAAACGAUUUUAUAUGCACUAGUUUUAGCGAAGAGAUAAAAUUAUAUUAGUAAGAAAAUUAUCAUAAAAUUAUAUAGGUGACUGCGAACAUCUUCACCAUUUAUAUAUGUUAACUGAAAUAUAUACAGUUUACAUGUCAAGUUAUAAGUGAUAAGGUAAUAUAAAAAUGUAAAAACAAAAUAUUAACCAAUAAACUAUUUGCUAGAAUAUGGACAAAAGAAAAGAAAAUAUUAGUAAAAAUUCAUCAAAUGUCCAGCCAUACAUCCAUUUUCAUUUCUCUUCUCGUGCGACCUAACUCUCACACUUGUUUGUUUCUUUUAUUUAACAUUAAAGCAACUAAACUUUUUCGAUGGUUUCAAUUUUCAAACGGAUAAGUUGUAGAAGAAGAAUCUGUUUCGACUUUCGUAUAUCCGAACAUUAGGUAACGUUUUUCAUCACUACCAAUUUGAACUUGCGUGGGCAUACGAAAAAAACAAGUUUUUGGAUACAUGCAAAGUAAAUAGAUUCCAUUAGUGCAUGGACACGUUCAUUUAACGUAUAUAGUAAAUCAAUAUGUGUCAUUUCUUUCUUAAACAAUAUGUGUAAUGACUUCAUAAAUGAUGCAGUUCAUUUUGAAUAUAUAUUUUAUAACUUUCCCAAAAUAUUAACAGAACAGCGAUAGGACUAAAUAACACGUAUCACUCUAUGACUGAUCAUUUCAAUAUAAUGUCUGCUCUUUUUUUUUGAAACUUAUAAUGGAUCUUGUUUUUAAAAUAACUUAUAUAGAUAGAAGAAAUAAUCUUAAAGAAUUUUAAAUAUAAUUUUGGAAAAUAACCAAAAACAAAAAAUAUCAGUCUAUUUCUAUUGAAAAUUAAAAAAUGCCGCAAAUUAAAAAGCCUGUAUGUAAUUUCAUUUUAAAGAUGACCGGAGUUGAUUUACCAUAAAUAUGACACUAAUAUUGUCUUUUACUUCGAAUUUAGAUAGUCAAGUUAAUUUGUAACUAUUUUAAACACAUGCCUUUAUUUUUAAGUAGUUCACUGUAAAUAUAAAAUAAUGGGUGUCAAAAAAAUUUUAAAAACAUUUGGUCAAUUUUGUUAAAAAAAUUAUAUUUUGGAACUUUAGUAGUCAUCCACUUACAUACUAGAUUUGUAUUUCAAAAUUAAAUAAAGAAUCUCAAAAUAAUAAAUGUUUCAGAUUCUGUAUUGGCUAGUCUUAUCAAAUACAAAUAUACGAAACAAGUAUUAAUAUCUAAGCAAGUAUAGUAGUUAAUAUCAUAGUCAAAACUGUUAAAAAAACUAGCUUAGUUAAAACAGAAAUAUAUUAUCAUACAUCCUCUCUGCCAACUCACCAUUUAAGUUGUAAGCCACGCAGAUUUAGGAACAUAUAGUUAUAUUUGUUACAUGUGCUCUUAAAUUCGUAACGUUUAUGCUAGGCAGUUUUUCAACUGAACUCUCUUUUAUUUACAUAAAUUAGGUACAUAGUUCUAAAACAGUCAUCACUAAUAAAAACUAUUUUGCAUUUUCUUACAAGUGUCAAAACAUUUAAGAUUCUGUAUUUCCUCAUUUUUGCUCACACAUAUCACCAUGUCCUCAUAUCUCUAUAUAACAACAGAAUUAAUGAACAUCUCCGAACAACCCAAAGAGAAUUCUAUCAUACCUAAACACACGAGCUAUAUCGAUAUGGAGACUGUAGUGGUGAUUGUGGGAGCUGGACCAGCUGGUUUAGCAACAUCUGUUUGUCUAAACCAAAACUCAAUCCCAAACGUGAUCCUCGAGAAAGAAUACAUAUAUGCAUCACUUGGGAAGAAAUGAGCUUACGAUCAUCUUAAAUUUCACUUAACUAAAAAAAUUUGCGAGCUUCCUUUCAUGAUGCACGGUCCCAAUUUUCCAAUCUUCAGGCCCAAAGAACUUUUCAUCAACUAGCUUUACACCUACAAAGUGACGUACAUGUCUAGCAUUUUACGGGCUCAAGAUAAACAUAUUAAUAUUUUACUACAAACGUUUUUAUGAAACUUUAAUUAAUAUACCAAUAAAAAUACAUAAAACAAUUUUAUAUGCAGUAGUUUUAGCGAAGAGAUAAAAUUAUAUUAGUAAGAAAAUUAUCAUAAAAUUAUAUAGGUGAUUGCGAACAUCUUCAUCAUUUAUAUAUGUUAACUGAAAUAUAUACAGUUUACAUGUCAAGUUAUAAGUGAUAAAGUAAUAUAAAAAUGUAAAAACAAAAUAUUAACCAGUAAAAUAUUUGCUAAAAUAUGGACAAAAGAAAAGAAAAUAUUAGUAAAAAUUCAUCAAAUGUCUAGCCAUACAUCCAUUUUCAUUUCUCUUCUCGUGCUACCUAACUCUCACACUUGUUUGUUUCUUUUAUUUAACAUUAAAGCAACUAAACUUUUUCGAUGGUUUCAAUUUUCAAACGGAUAAGUUGUAGAAGAAGAAUCUGUUUCGACUUUCGUAUAUCCGAACAUUAGGAAACGUUUUUCAUCACUACCAAUCUGAACUUGCCUGGGCAUACGAAAAAACCAUUUUUUGGAUACAUGCAAAGUAAAUAGAUUCUAGUAGUGCAUGGACACGUUCAUCUAACGUAAAUAGUAAAUCAAUAUGUGUCAUUUGUUUCUUAAACAAUAUGUGUAAUGACUUCAUAAAUGAUGCAGUUCAUUUUGAAUAUAUAUUUUAUAUCUUUCCCAAAAUAUUAACAGAACAGCGAUAAGACUAAAUAACACGUAUCACUCUAUGACUGAUCAUUUCAAUAUAAUGUCUGCUCUUUUUUUUUUUGAAACUUAUAAUGGUUCUUGUUUUUAAAAUAACUUAUAUAGAUAUAAGAAAUAAUCUUAAAGAAUUUUAAAUAUAAUUUUGGAAAAUGAACAAAUACAAAGAAUAUCAGUCUAUUUCUAUUGAAAAUUGAAAAAUGCCGCAAAGUAAAAAGCCUGUAUGUAAUUUCAUUUUGAAGAUGACUGUAGUUGUUUUACAAUAAAUAUGACACUAAUAUUGUCUUUUACUUCGAAUUUAGAUAGUCAAGUUAAUUUGUAACUAUUUUAAACAUAUGCCUUUAUUUUUAAGUAGUUCACUGUAAAUAUAAAAUAAUGGGUGUCAGUAAAAUUUUAAGAAAAUUUGGUCAAUUUUGUCUAAAAAAAUAUUUUUUAGAACUUUAGUAGUCAUCCACUUACAUACCUGAUUUGUAUUUCAAAAUUAAAUAAAGAAUCUCAAAAUAAUAAAUGUUUUCAGAUUCUGUAUUGACUAGUCUUAUAAAAUAAAAAUAUACGAAACAAGUAUUAAAAUCUAAGCAAGUAUAGUAGUUAAUAUCAUAGUCAAAACUGUUAAAAUAAAAUAACAUAGUCAAAACAGAAAUAUAUUAUCAUACAUCUUCUCUGCCAACUCACCAUUUAAGUUGUAAGCCACGCAGAUUAAGGAACAUAUGGUUAUAUUUGUUACCUUAUGCUCUUAAAUUCGUAACGUUUAUGCUAGGCUGUUUUUCAACUGAACUCUCUUUUAUUUACAGAAAUUAGGUACAUAGUUCCAAAACAGUCAGCACUAAUAAAAACCAUUUUCAUUUUCUUACAAGUGUCAAAAAUUUUAAGAUUCUGUAUUUCCCCGUUUUUGCUCACACAUAUCACCAUGUCCUCACAUCUCUAUAUAACAACAGAAUCAAUGAACAUCUCCGAACAACCCAAAGAGAAAAUCUAUUAUACCUAAACACACGAGAUAUAUAGAGAUGGAGGCUGUACUGGUGAUUGUGGGAGCUGGACCAGCUGGUUUAGCAACAUCUGUUUGUCUAAACCAACACUCAAUCCCAAACGUGAUCCUCGAGAAAGAAUACAUAUAUGCAUCACUUGGGAAGAAAUGAGGUUACGAUCAUCUCAAACUUCACUUAACUAAAAAAAUUUGCGAGCUUCCUUUCAUGAUGUACGGUCCCAAUUUUCCAAUCUUCAUGCCCAAAGAACUUUUCAUCAACUAGCUUUACACCUACAAAGUGACGUAGAUGUCUAGCAUUUUACGGGUUCAAGAUAAACAUAUUAAUAUUUUACUACAAACUUUUUUAUGAAAAUCUAAUUAAUAUACCAAUACAAAUACAUAAAACAAUUUUAUAUGCACUAGUUUUAGCAAAGAGAUAAAAUUAUAUUAGUAAGAAAAUUAUCAUAAAAUUAUAUAGGUGAUUGCGAACAUCUUCAUCAUUUAUAUAUGUUAACUGAAAUAUAUACAGUUUACAUGUCAAGUUAUAAGUGAUAAGGUAAUAUAAAAAUGUAAAAACAAAAUAUUAACCAAUAAACUAUUUGCUAGAAUAUGGACAAAAGAAAAGAAAAUAUUAGUAAAAAUUCAUCAAAUGUCCAGCCAUACAUCCAUUUUCAUUUCUCUUCUCGUGCGACCUAACUCUCACACUUGUUUGUUUCUUUUAUUUAACAUUAAAGCAACUAAACUUUUUCGAUGGUUUCAAUUUUCAAACGGAUAAGUUGUAGAAGAAGAAUCUGUUUCGACUUUCGUAUAUCCGAACAUUAGGUAACGUUUUUCAUCACUACCAAUUUGAACUUGCGUGGGCAUACGAAAAAAACAAGUUUUUGGAUACAUGCAAAGUAAAUAGAUUCCAUUAGUGCAUGGACACGUUCAUUUAACGUAUAUAGUAAAUCAAUAUGUGUCAUUUCUUUCUUAAACAAUAUGUGUAAUGACUUCAUAAAUGAUGCAGUUCAUUUUGAAUAUAUAUUUUAUAACUUUCCCAAAAUAUUAACAGAACAGCGAUAGGACUAAAUAACACGUAUCACUCUAUGACUGAUCAUUUCAAUAUAAUGUCUGCUCUUUUUUUUUGAAACUUAUAAUGGAUCUUGUUUUUAAAAUAACUUAUAUAGAUAGAAGAAAUAAUCUUAAAGAAUUUUAAAUAUAAUUUUGGAAAAUAACCAAAAACAAAAAAUAUCAGUCUAUUUCUAUUGAAAAUUAAAAAAUGCCGCAAAUUAAAAAGCCUGUAUGUAAUUUCAUUUUAAAGAUGACCGGAGUUGAUUUACCAUAAAUAUGACACUAAUAUUGUCUUUUACUUCGAAUUUAGAUAGUCAAGUUAAUUUGUAACUAUUUUAAACACAUGCCUUUAUUUUUAAGUAGUUCACUGUAAAUAUAAAAUAAUGGGUGUCAAAAAAAUUUUAAAAACAUUUGGUCAAUUUUGUUAAAAAAAUUAUAUUUUGGAACUUUAGUAGUCAUCCACUUACAUACUAGAUUUGUAUUUCAAAAUUAAAUAAAGAAUCUCAAAAUAAUAAAUGUUUCAGAUUCUGUAUUGGCUAGUCUUAUCAAAUACAAAUAUACGAAACAAGUAUUAAUAUCUAAGCAAGUAUAGUAGUUAAUAUCAUAGUCAAAACUGUUAAAAAAACUAGCUUAGUUAAAACAGAAAUAUAUUAUCAUACAUCCUCUCUGCCAACUCACCAUUUAAGUUGUAAGCCACGCAGAUUUAGGAACAUAUAGUUAUAUUUGUUACAUGUGCUCUUAAAUUCGUAACGUUUAUGCUAGGCAGUUUUUCAACUGAACUCUCUUUUAUUUACAUAAAUUAGGUACAUAGUUCUAAAACAGUCAUCACUAAUAAAAACUAUUUUGCAUUUUCUUACAAGUGUCAAAACAUUUAAGAUUCUGUAUUUCCUCAUUUUUGCUCACACAUAUCACCAUGUCCUCAUAUCUCUAUAUAACAACAGAAUUAAUGAACAUCUCCGAACAACCCAAAGAGAAUUCUAUCAUACCUAAACACACGAGCUAUAUCGAUAUGGAGACUGUAGUGGUGAUUGUGGGAGCUGGACCAGCUGGUUUAGCAACAUCUGUUUGUCUAAACCAAAACUCAAUCCCAAACGUGAUCCUCGAGAAAGAAUACAUAUAUGCAUCACUUGGGAAGAAAUGAGCUUACGAUCAUCUUAAAUUUCACUUAACUAAAAAAAUUUGCGAGCUUCCUUUCAUGAUGCACGGUCCCAAUUUUCCAAUCUUCAGGCCCAAAGAACUUUUCAUCAACUAGCUUUACACCUACAAAGUGACGUACAUGUCUAGCAUUUUACGGGCUCAAGAUAAACAUAUUAAUAUUUUACUACAAACGUUUUUAUGAAACUUUAAUUAAUAUACCAAUAAAAAUACAUAAAACAAUUUUAUAUGCAGUAGUUUUAGCGAAGAGAUAAAAUUAUAUUAGUAAGAAAAUUAUCAUAAAAUUAUAUAGGUGAUUGCGAACAUCUUCAUCAUUUAUAUAUGUUAACUGAAAUAUAUACAGUUUACAUGUCAAGUUAUAAGUGAUAAAGUAAUAUAAAAAUGUAAAAACAAAAUAUUAACCAGUAAAAUAUUUGCUAAAAUAUGGACAAAAGAAAAGAAAAUAUUAGUAAAAAUUCAUCAAAUGUCUAGCCAUACAUCCAUUUUCAUUUCUCUUCUCGUGCUACCUAACUCUCACACUUGUUUGUUUCUUUUAUUUAACAUUAAAGCAACUAAACUUUUUCGAUGGUUUCAAUUUUCAAACGGAUAAGUUGUAGAAGAAGAAUCUGUUUCGACUUUCGUAUAUCCGAACAUUAGGAAACGUUUUUCAUCACUACCAAUCUGAACUUGCCUGGGCAUACGAAAAAACCAUUUUUUGGAUACAUGCAAAGUAAAUAGAUUCUAGUAGUGCAUGGACACGUUCAUCUAACGUAAAUAGUAAAUCAAUAUGUGUCAUUUGUUUCUUAAACAAUAUGUGUAAUGACUUCAUAAAUGAUGCAGUUCAUUUUGAAUAUAUAUUUUAUAUCUUUCCCAAAAUAUUAACAGAACAGCGAUAAGACUAAAUAACACGUAUCACUCUAUGACUGAUCAUUUCAAUAUAAUGUCUGCUCUUUUUUUUUUUGAAACUUAUAAUGGUUCUUGUUUUUAAAAUAACUUAUAUAGAUAUAAGAAAUAAUCUUAAAGAAUUUUAAAUAUAAUUUUGGAAAAUGAACAAAUACAAAGAAUAUCAGUCUAUUUCUAUUGAAAAUUGAAAAAUGCCGCAAAGUAAAAAGCCUGUAUGUAAUUUCAUUUUGAAGAUGACUGUAGUUGUUUUACAAUAAAUAUGACACUAAUAUUGUCUUUUACUUCGAAUUUAGAUAGUCAAGUUAAUUUGUAACUAUUUUAAACACAUGCCUUUAUUUUUAAGUAGUUCACUGUAAAUAUAAUAUAAUGGGUGUCAAUAAAAUUUUAAAAAAUUUGGUCAAUUUUGUUAAAAACAAUUAUUUUUUGGAACUUUAGUAGUCAUCCACUUACAUACUUGAUUUGUAUUUCAAAAUUAAAUAAAGAAUCUCAAAAUAAAAAAUGUUUUCAGAUUCUGUAUUGGCUAGUCUUAUCAAAUACAAAUAUACGAAACAAAUAUUAAUAUCUAAGCAAGUAUAGUAGUUAAUAUCAUAGUCAAAACUGUUAAAAAAAAUAGCAUAGUCAAAACAGAAAUAUAUUAUCAUACAUCCUCUCUGCCAACUCACCAUUUAAGUUGUAAGCCACACAGAUUAAGGAACAUAUGGGUAUAUUUGUUACUUGUGCUCUCAAAUUCGUAACGUUUAUGCUAGGCAGUUUUUCAACUGAACUCUCUUUUAUAUACAGAAAUUAGGUACAUAGUUCUAAAACAGUCAGGACUAAUAAAAACUAUUUUGCAUUUUCUUACAAGUGUCAAAACAUUUAAGAUUCUGUAUUUCCUCGUUUUUCCUCACACAUAUCACCAUAUCACCAUGUCCUCAUAUCUCUAUAUAAAAACAGAAUUAAUGAACAUCUCCGAACAACCCAAAGAGAAUUCUAUCAUACCUAAACACACAAGAUAUAUAGAUAUGGAGACUGUAGUGGUGAUUGUGGGAGCUGGACCAGCUGGUUUAGCAACAUCUGUUUGUCUAAACCAACACUCAAUCCAAAACGUGAUCCUCGAGAAAGAAUACAUAUAUGCAUCACUUGGAAAGAAAUGAGCUUACGAUCAUCUCAAACUUCACUUAACUAAAAAAAAUUGCAAGCUUCCUUUCAUGAUGCACGGUCCCAAUUUUCCAAUCUUCAUGCCCAAAGAAAUUUUCAUCAACUAGCUUUAUACCUACAAAGUGACGUACAUGUCUAGCAUUUUACGGGCUCAAGAUAAACAUAUUAAUAUUUUACUACAAACUUUUUUAUGAAAAUCUAAUUAAUA
rnacentral:lncRNA from 1 species